UAAACUACGAUUAGAUACCCUAUUAUUUUGGAUGUGAAGUGUUAAUACUAGAGUAGUAUAAGUUAUGUUCUUGAAACUCAAAGAAUUUGGCGGUGUUUUAGUCCUUUCAGAGGAACCUGCCCCAUAAUCGAUAUUCCACGUUAGACCUUGCUUAAUCUUGUUGAUCAGUUUGUAUAUCGCCGUCGUCAGAAUGUCCUAAAAGGGUUUGAAUUUUCUUUAUUUCUAAUAAUUAAAAGGAUGUCAGGUCAAGGUGCAGUUUAUGGUUAAGUGGAGGUGGGUUACAAUAAAUUUAUUUAUACGGAUAAUUAUUUGAAAGUUAAUAAUUUAAAGGUGGAUUUGAAUGUAAUUUUGUAUAGUAUAAUAUAUUGAUUUAUGGCUCUAAAACAUGCACACAUCGCCCGUCGCUCUUA
rnacentral:rRNA from 1 species